GCCUUCGUGGUGUAAUGGUCAAGCACACUUGGCGCCUAUUCGAGAAGUCCGUGGUUCGAGUCCCGCCGACGGCA
rnacentral:tRNA from 1 species